UCUCCUUUCACCUCCCCAACCCCAUGAGCCGUAGGAAAUUUGAUUUUGAAAUGAGGUAUUGAUGUUACAGCUUGCAAAGCAAUUAAAGUGGGCCUCCCCAAAAUAGCAUUAUAAGCAGAAUCUACAUGCACAACAUAAAAUUUGCAAAUAAUUUCUACCUGUUGAGGGGCCGUUCCAAAUACAACUGGCAGUUCAAUGGUCCCAACCACCUUAACCGGAUCAUUGCUGAAACCAUAAAGAGGAGCCUCCUGCCCUAUUUCCAUCUUUUGCCCGUCCAGAUUCAUCCUUUGAUAAGCAUGGGCAUACAGGAUGUCCACAGAAGACCCAUUAUCUACCAUCAUCCUUUUCAUAUCCACCGAACCCACUUGUGCAGUCAGCACCAAUGAUCCCUCGUGCGGUUCGAUGACUUCCGAAGGGUAAUCCU
rnacentral:lncRNA from 1 species